rnacentral:rRNA from 1 species
GGAUAACUUACCCUUAGGACUGGGAUAACUCUGGGAAACUGGGGAUAAUACUGGAUAUUUGGCUAUGCCUGGAAUGGUUUGCCUUUGAAAUGUUUUCUUUUUCGCCUAAGGAUAGAUCUGCGGCUGAUUAGGUCGUUGGUGGGGUAAUGGCCCACCAAGCCGAUGAUCGGUACGGGUUGUGAGAGCAAGAGCCCGGAGAUGGAACCUGAGACAAGGUUCCAGACCCUACGGGGUGCAGCAGGCGCGAAACCUCCGCAAUGUACGAAAGUGCGACGGGGGGAUCCCAAGUGUUAUGCUUUUUUUGUAUAACUUUUCAUUAGUGUAAAAAGCUUUUAGAAUAAGAGCUGGGCAAGACCGGUGCCAGCCGCCGCGGUAACACCGGCAGCUCGAGUGGUAGCUGUUUUUAUUGGGCCUAAAGCGUUCGUAGCCGGUUUGAUAAGUCUUUGGUGAAAGCUUGUAGCUUAACUAUAAGAAUUGCUGGAGAUACUAUUAGACUUGAAGUCGGGAGAGGUUAGAGGUACUACCGGGGUAGGGGUGAAAUCCUAUAAUCCUGGGAGGACCACCUGUGGCGAAGGCGUCUAACUGGAACGAUCUUGACGGUGAGUAACGAAAGCCAGGGGCGCGAACCGGAUUAGAUACCCGGGUAGUCCUGGCCGUAAACGGUGUAGACUUGGUGUUGGAAUGGCUUUGGGUU